rnacentral:piRNA from 1 species
UCUAUUCUAAGUCUACUGGGUUUCCUCCUA